GUCUGGGUCUUUUAAGGCUCACCUGAUUAAGGCAAUAGUAGUUUACAAGUGUUCAAAGAUGUCUGGGUCUUUUAAGGCAAUAGUAGUUUACAAAUGUUCACAGAUGUCUGGGCCUUUUAAGCUCACCUGAUACAAAGGUGCAAUGUUCUUCUAAUGUGGUUUUGAUUAUUUGUUGUCUCCUGUUGACUUUUAGAAAGAAACUACCAGGCCAUUGCAACCAGACUUGGACAAAUUUGUUCUAUUAGUGUCUAGAUACCAUUAAAUGUGUGUUGCAGCCAUCAAACUAUGGCAACCAAAACCAGAGAAAAAAAUAGGGAUUAUAUGCAAUUAUUGUCUAAUAUCGUAUAUGCUUUUUA
rnacentral:lncRNA from 1 species